rnacentral:tRNA from 1 species
GAGGGUAUAGCUCAGUGGUAAAGUGCAUGCCUAGCAUGCACAAGGUCCUGGGUUCAAGUCCCAGUACCUCUA